CUUCGGAUCUAGUGGCGCACGGGUGCGUAACGCGUGGGAAUCUGCCCCUUUGCUUCGGAAUAACAGUUAGAAAUGACUGCUAAUACCGGAUGAUGUCUUCGGACCAAAGAUUUAUCGGCAAAAGAUGAGCCCGCGUAGGAUUAGGUAGUUGGUGGGGUAAAGGCCUACCAAGCCGACGAUCCUUAGCUGGUCUGAGAGGAUGAUCAGCCACACUGGGACUGAGACACGGCCCAGACUCCUACGGGAGGCAGCAGUGGGGAAUAUUGGACAAUGGGCGAAAGCCUGAUCCAGCAAUGCCGCGUGAGUGAUGAAGGCCUUCGGGUCGUAAAGCUCUUUACCAGGGAUGAUAAUGACAGUACCUGGAGAAUAAGCUCCGGCUAACUCCGUG
rnacentral:rRNA from 1 species